CAGCACCUCAAGUGGUCAGGAUGAUUAUUGGGCCUAAAGCAUCCGUAGCCGGCGCUGUAAGUUUUCGGUUAAAUCUGUACGCUCAACGUACAGGCUGCCGGGAAUACUGCAGCGCUAGGGAGUGGGAGAGGUAGACGGUACUCGGUAGGAAGGGGUAAAAUCCUUUGAUCUAUUGAUGACCACCUGUGGCGACGGCGGUCUACCAGAACACGUCCGACGGUGAGGGAUGAAAGCUGGGGGAGCAAACCGGAUUAGAUACCCGUGUAGUCC
rnacentral:rRNA from 1 species